GAUGCAAAAGAACACAUAUUGUCGGGCAAAGACAAAGCCUUCAUUGAGGGACGACAAAUCAACACAUUCAAAGGGAGAGGUGUGUUUGCACUUGAGCACAUUGAACCAUCCACCUUUGUUGUUGAAUACCGUGGGAUUCUCUCUCAAAGUAAACAUGUUAAAGAUGUUCAAGGCAACUACUUGUUUGACUUCACAUGGAAUGGAACACGUUAUUGCAUAGAUGCAACAAAAGAGGACGGUGG